GACUAGGGGGCCAUCCUCUUCCUUUCGCCGUCGCCGCCGCGGAGCGGAGUCGAGCCGAGCUGAUUUGAUCGAGGAGCGCGGUUACCGGACGGGCUGGGUCUAUGGUCGCUCCGCGGGCCGCUCCGCCGGCUGGUGCUUUUUUAUCAGGGCAAGCUGUGUUCCAUGGCAGGGAACUUUUGGCAGAGCUCCCACUAUUUGCAAUGGAUUUUGGAUAAACAAGAUCUGUUGAAGGAGCGCCAAAAGGAUUUAAAGUUUCUCUCAGAGGAAGAAUAUUGGAAGUUACAAAUAUUUUUUACAAAUGGUAAACUUUUUAAAAAAUUGGUUCAAAUUGUAUAGUUGGUUACCUCUAAAUAAAAAUGUUUUUGUGUGGUAAUUUGUGAACUGUUAUAGUGCAUACCUAACAUUUUUAUUUAUACAGGUAUUCUUUUUACAACUUAUUCAUUUAUCGUUCUUUUUAGUGAUCCAAAUAAAGUUUUUUUGUGUGAAUUUUACAUAUCACCAGCACUCAAGACAAUUUGAAAGUGUUACCUAAUCUCCCUAAGACUUUAUAAUAAUUAUUAGACCCAGUUCAAGGUUGGCUAAAGCAAAGUACUUUGAGGACAAAUCAUUCUUUGGAUUGACAUCCUAUAGUGGUCAUUUCUCUUAGAACUUUGCUUUGAAGGGAAGAAGAUGUAGGGAUAGAUCUUUACUCUGACAUGUAGUAGGUUUGUCACAUAAUUUUUUUAACUUUCAGUUCACUAUUUUGUAAACUUACCUCUUUUUUUUGAGGAUUCAUUAUGGAUUUUUAUUUAUUUAUUUUGGUGAGCUGUAUAAAGCUAAGUGUGGUGGCUCACACCUGUAAUCUUAGCACUUUGGGAGGCAGAGGUGGGCAGAUCACUUGAGGCCAGGAGUUUGAGACAAGCCUGGCCAGCAUGGUGAAAUUCCCUCUACUAAAAAUACAAAAAUUAGCUGGGCGUGGUGAGGCACAAGAAUCACCUGAACCUGGGAGGUAGAGAUUGCAGUGAGCCAAGAUCGUGCUACUGCAUUCCAGCCUGGGCGACAGAAUGAGACUCUGUCUCAAAACAACAAAAAGUGGUAGUAUUAACAAGUUUCAUAGGUGUCUAAUAUUUUCUUU
rnacentral:sRNA from 1 species